AUUGAACGCUGGCGGCAGGCCUAACACAUGCAAGUCGGGCGAGUGGCGGACGGGUGAGUAAUGUAUGGGGAUCUGCCUGAUGGAGGGGGAUAACUACUGGAAACGGUAGCUAAUACCGCAUACCAUCAGAUGUACCCAUAUGGGAUUAGCUUGUGGGUGAGGUAACGGCUCACCAAGGCGACGAUCCCUAGCUGGUCUGAGAGGAUGACCAGCCACACUGGAACUGAGACACGGCCCAGACUCCUACGGGAGGCAGCAGUGGGGAAUAUUGCACAAUGGGCGCAAGCCUGAUGCAGCCAUGCCGCGUGUAUGAAGAAGGCCUUCGGGUUGUAAAGUACUUUCAGUGAGGAGGCGUUACCCGCAGAAGAAGCACCGGCUAACUCCGUGCCAGCAGCCGCGGUAAUAC
rnacentral:rRNA from 1 species